rnacentral:rRNA from 1 species
UACAGAGGUCCCAAGCGUUGUUCGGAUUCACUGGGCGUAAAGGGUGCGUAGGUGGUGGGGUAAGUCGGAUGUGAAAGCUCGGAGCUCAACUCCGAAAUGGCAUUGGAAACUACCCUGCUAGAGGGUCGGAGGGGGGACUGGAAUUCUCGGUGUAGCAGUGAAAUGCGUAGAUAUCGAGAGGAACACCAGUGGCGAAGGCGAGUCCCGGGACGACUCCUGACACUGAGGCACGAAAGCUAGGGGAGCAAACAGG